AUGCACGCUGGCGGCGUGCCUAAUCCCUGCCAGUCGAGCGAACGGACGAGAAGCUUGCUUUUCUGAUGUUAGCGGCGGACGGGUGAGUAACACGUGGAUAACCUACCUAUAAGACUGGGAUAACUUCGGGAAACCGGAGCUAAUACCGGAUAAUAUUUUGAACCGCAUGGUUCAAAAGUGAAAGACGGUCUUGCUGUCACUUAUAGAUGGAUCCGCGCUGCAUUAGCUAGUUGGUAAGGUAACGGCUUACCAAGGCAACGAUGCAUAGCCGACCUGAGAGGGUGAUCGGCCACACUGGAACUGAGACACGGUCCAGACUCCUACGGGAGGCAGCAGUAGGGAAUCUUCCGCAAUGGGCGAAAGCCUGACGGAGCAACGCCGCGUGAGUGAUGAAGGUCUUCGGAUCGUAAAACUCUGUUAUUAGGGAAGAACAUAUGUGUAAGUAACUGUGCACAUCUGGACGGUACCUAAGCAGAAAGCCACGGCUAACUACGG
rnacentral:rRNA from 1 species